rnacentral:ncRNA from 2 species
UUAAACCACUAGGGGAGUCUUUUACUAAAGACUGAGAUUGAAGUAUAUGACUUCAAGACCCUUAGAACCUGAUCUAGUUUAAACUAGCGUAGGGAAGUGGAAAUGGUUCUUU